rnacentral:tRNA from 1 species
GGGCCCGUAGUCUAGCCUGGUUAGGACGUCGCCCUCACACGGCGAAGGUCUCCGGUUCGAGUCCGGACGGGCCCACCA